rnacentral:misc_RNA from 1 species
UAUUCAGGUGCCAAAUAACCUCUACACAAAUCAAAAUAAUGACAUCACUUAAAUGAGUGAAAAAUAAAAUUUUGCAAAACUGAAAAGUAUUGUUGUUUAUUCCAGGGAUAACUGAUGAACUAUUCAAGUGAAACUUGUCAAAUAUAUAUUAAUACAAAGUACUUAUAUUGAAUUAAAUGUACUUUUUUCCUUUUAUUGAAAGAUAUAUCUUUCUCUUCUAUGUUAACUGCAACUAGGUCAUACUUACGCGGCGUAUUACAUAGCAUCUCUGUUAGUGAAAUAACAGUUCUCUUAACAGUGGAAUAGAAUUGGCAAAGAUUAAAAAGUUCAAGGUUUAAUUAGUAAUUUUCAUAGUAUGGGGUAGAAUUGCAAAUUUUGUAAAGCACGGGAUUUUUUUGGCACUUAUCCCUUUAUUCUAUCCCAAUCAAACAACAUAAGAUGUCAACAAGUAGUAACAUUAUCACAGUUUGAUAAGCCAGAUGAC